rnacentral:siRNA from 1 species
AGCGCGUGGCACGAGGUUGGUGCG